UUAUAUCUUUAUAUAGAUAUUUUAAAAUGUAAUUUUCACGAUGCUAACAAAUACCUGCAAUAUGAUGCACUUUUCAAAUACUUGAAAAGUAAUUUUCGCAGACAUUUUGGUGGUGGUAGGAAACGGGUUAUUAGUAACUUAACACCCUCUCCCGGCUUUGACGUCGCUGGUUAAUACAACAAAAGUCCACAGUAUAUAUGUUGUUAGAUUCUAAUUUUCUCGAAAUUAUUACUUUAAAUCUAAAACUGUUAUUAUUUAGUUAUUAUCAGGCAUUUUGUUUUUAAAAGGUGUUACAAUUGUGUAUACUUAAUAUAAUAUAUAAUAUUAGGUAGUUAAUAAGAAUAACAUGCAUCAGGUUUCAUAGCGAAUUAAGGCUUAUAAAACUACAAAUCAUAAUAUUCGUUACACGUUAAGUACGAUAUCAUACAAGUUUAUAUAGUUAUCUUCAUUAUCAACAAUUAUUAAUCUAAUAAUAGAUGUUAUAACAACGUCACUAAUAACUGAUUUUGUAAAGCGUAGAACCACCAUUAUUAUUUGGACAUUUUUAACGUAGUUAUAGCUAAAUUAGGUCAAUCACCCUUUUCUUUUAUGUAAUGACUGAGGAGUUACUUUAGAGAGGUGUUUUUUUUGAUUUUCCUAGGAGUUUUCCCAAUAAAUG